UCUCCUGGAAACGGGUGGUAAUGCCGGAUGCUCCAGUCCAUCGCAUGGUGGUCUGGGAAAGAUUCUAUCGGUAUGGGAUGGGGUCGCGUCCUAUCAGCUUGAUGGCGGGGUAACGGCCCACCAUGGCCUCGACGGGUAGCCGGCCUGAGAGGGCGACCGGCCACAUUGGGACUGAGAUACGGCCCAGACUCCUACGGGAGGCAGCAGUGGGGAAUAUUGCACAAUGGGCGCAAGCCUGAUGCAGCGACGCCGCGUGCGGGAUGGAGGCCUUCGGGUUGUAAACCGCUUUUGAUCGGGAGCAAGCCCUUCGGGGUGAGUGUACCCUUCGAAUAAGCACCGGCUAACUACGUGCCAGCAGCCGCGGUAAUACGUAGGGUGCAAGCGUUAUCCGGAAUUAUUGGGCGUAAAGGGCUCGUAGGCGGUUCGUCGCGUCCGGUGUGAAAGCCCAUCGCUUAACGGUGGGUCUGCGCCGGGUACGGGCGGGCUGGAGUGCGGUAGGGGAGACUGGAAUUCCCGGUGUAACGGUGGAAUGUGUAGAUAUCGGGAAAGAACACCA
rnacentral:rRNA from 1 species